rnacentral:rRNA from 1 species
UACGUAGGGCGCAAGCGUUGUCCGGAAUUAUUGGGCGUAAAGAGCUCGUAGGCGGUUUGUCGCGUCGGGUGUGAAAGCCCGGGGCUUAACCCCGGGUCUGCAUUCGAUACGGGCAGACUAGAGUGUGGUAGGGGAGAUCGGAAUUCCUGGUGUAGCGGUGAAAUGCGCAGAUAUCAGGAGGAACACCGGUGGCGAAGGCGGGUCUCUGGGCAGUAACUGACGCUGAGGAGCGAAAGCGUGGGGAGCGAACAGG